CUCACAUACAUGCAUUUUGCCUGGAACCGUGUGAUUCUUGUGCUUCUCUGUAGGCGCAGUGAGUGCUGAUAUGGGCAUACAGGAGUGAAGGAAUGACAUGCAGUCUGUCUCUGUCUUUUCUUCUUCGGGAGGUGUUACAGAGGGCUGCACUUUUCAAAGCGUUUGCCAGUGAAAUUAAGUCUGCAUCCAUCCUGUGCAACAAAAGAAUGAAACGACACAGUAAAAGCUAAAAACUAAUCACAGGUUUGGCAGUCACUUUAGAUCACAGAAAAAAUGUCUUGAUUCACAUACACUUAAAUGAAUAAAUAACCAUAUUAACUACUUAAGCGGAGCUAUCGUUCUUUGUCAGUGUGAUCCUCAGGCUUAUGCAAAGUGUGUGAAUGCUCUCUAUGCAGCGCAGACAAGCAUUUCAGAGGGAAGAUGCAUUACUCAGGUUUCUUUGCAAUGAACUGUACCGAAAAAGGAUGUUAAGCCUGUAAGCUCAGAAUUGCUUUGCCUUCAUCAUGCAAGCGCAUUGCUGAGACAUGGCUGGCUGAGAGCACAAGCUUAUUCUGAGAAAGCCAUAACAAAAAACAUGUAUUUAUUCCUUUUAAAAGAAAUGAGGAAUAACCCUGAAAGCUGACCAAGCUCUUUCCUUCUGUCCCCUUUGUUAUUUUCCAGUAUCUCUGGGCCUGAGUCAAAACCACAGCUGUCCAUCUAGCUUUCCCACUGACUUCUGUGGGGCUGGGAUGAGGCUUGCGUGUUAUCUGGCCUCAGUGCUGUCCAGAGCUUGUCAUCUUAUAUCGCAGGCUCCCAGAAAGACAGAGCAGCAGACCCCAGACAACAUGAGGAAGAAAAUUUCUUCUGCUGGCGAUAAACCCCAUCAAACACCAGAAGCCUCACCUCAAUCACAGCGUGCAGGCCUGCAGUCCUGGAGCAGAGUCCUCCCACAGCUGAGCAUCCCACUCCUCCACGUAUUAUGAGGGUCACCCUCCCACUCUGCAGGCUUUCUCUGCUGUUCC
ensembl:lncRNA